AAGUGUGCCCCUUGUAACACCGACGUGUGUUUUCCGUUUAUUACUUCCUGUGGACUGAGGGUGACUCAUAGAACUGCAGUGCGUGCUGAAGAGUGCGGACUAUGCCCAGAAGGACACUCACAGACAAAAUGGUUUCCUGUUCUCUUCAUCUUUCCAGCAUUCCUCUCGUCUGGUCUCUUCUCCAAUAGUCGGAGUCUGAGAUGCGUGUGUGGUUUUUUUAGACUUCCCUAAAAGGUCCCCUGCCCAAGCUGGGGGCCUCAUCGUGGAUUACUCCAACCUGUUUGUCUCCUCAACUCCUGGAUCCACUGAAAACUACCGUGUUCCUAACUCACUGUAGUCAAGCUUCUUGGGUGUGGGGAGUAUUGUUUGGAAUUUUGUUGUUGUUGUUGCUGCUGCUGCUGCUGCUGCAGCUGUUUGUUUUGGAGACAGAAUCUUGAGUAGCCCAGGGUGGCCUCAAUCUAACUGUGUAACUGAGGCAGGUCUUGAGCUCUCGAUAGUCUUGCCUCAGCUUCUUAGGUACUGGAAUGACCUCAUGUGCCACCACUCCUGGCUUCCUUGUGAUAAAGUCUUGCUUUCUGCCUUAUGUGGCAACGCUGGUGUGUCAGCCAGACAUGUUCAUGGGUUUAUUCUCUUCCUCACCAGGAUCUCCCCCUGGACACUUGACCUCAUAAAAACCAGAGCCCUGAGAUGGAGCCAAGGACAUGCAUAAAGCUGUAGCCGGAAGGAGAACAGAUGACUGAGGGAAAUAAUUUUAGGACAUUUUGGGAAUGGCAGAUGCUAAGUGGCUUCUAGGUUUUUAAAUGUUCUCUGUUGUGCUCUGUUUACUUUAUGACCAGUCCAUGUUUUGUCACUGAGGUACCCAGACCUUAUAAAAAGAAAAACUUUA